rnacentral:rRNA from 1 species
AGGAAAUAGAUACCCCGGUAGUCCACGCCGUAAACGAUGGAUACUAGCUGUUCGGAGCAAUCUGAGUGGCUAAAGCGAAAAGUGAUAAGUAUCCCACCUGGGGAGUACGCACGCAAGUGUGAAACUCAAAGGAAUUGACGGGGGCCCGCACAAGCGGUGGAGCAUGUGGUUUAAUUCGAUGAUACGCGAGGAACCUUACCAGGGCUUAAAUGUAGAUUGACAGGACUGGAAACAGUUUUUUCUUCGGACAAUUUACAAGGUGCUGCAUGGUUGUCGUCAGCUCGUGCCGUGAGGUGUCAGGUUAAGUCCUAUAACGAGCGCAACCCCUGUCGUUAGUUGCCAGCGAGUCAUGUCGGGAACUCUAACGAGACUGCCAGUGUAAACUGUGAGGAAGGUGGGGAUGACGUCAAAUCAUCACGGCCCUUACGUCCUGGGCCACACACGUGCUACAAUGGUAGGUACAGAGAGCAGCCACUGCGCGAGCAGGAGCGAAUCUACAAAACCUAUCUCAGUUCGGAUCGGAGU